rnacentral:tRNA from 1 species
UCCCUGGUAGCCUAGUGGUUAGGAUUCUGGGCUUUCACCACCAUGGCCCAGGUUCAACCCUGGUCAGGGAA